rnacentral:rRNA from 1 species
AUGAGUUUUGAUUCCCUUGGAGAAGUGUACGAUUUCUAUAACUUGUAUUCUUGGGAGGUUGGAUUUGGUAUGAGAUAUGGCAAGAGCCGUUUGAACGUCGAGCGGACAAAGUGUUUGCAAGAGAUCGUCUGUGGAUGCUCGGGAAAACCAGAGCAACAGAAUAGCCGGUCUUGCCGCUGUGAGUGCCCUGCGAUGACACAGGAGGCAAGAGAAAGGAGUCGAGGAAAUUGA